rnacentral:rRNA from 1 species
UACGUAGGGCGCAAGCGUUGUCCGGAAUUAUUGGGCGUAAAGAGCUCGUAGGCGGCCAGUUGCGUCUGCUGUGAAAUCCCGGGGCUCAACCCCGGGCGUGCAGUGGAUACGGGCUGGCUAGAGGCAGGCAGGGGAGAACGGAAUUCCCGGUGUAGCGGUGAAAUGCGCAGAUAUCAGGAGGAACACCGGUGGCGAAGGCGGUUCUCUGGGCAUUACCUGACGCUGAGGAGCGAAAGCAUGGGGAGCGAACAGG